AUUGAACGCUGGCGGCAGGCCUAACACAUGCAAGUCGAGCGGAUGAAGGGAGCUUGCUCCUGGAUUCAGCGGCGGACGGGUGAGUAAUGCCUAGGAAUCUGCCUGGUAGUGGGGGAUAGCGUCCGGAAACGGGCGCUAAUACCGCAUACGUCCUGAGGGAGAAAGUGGGGGAUCUUCGGACCUCACGCUAUCAGAUGAGCCUAGGUCGGAUUAGCUAGUUGGUGGGGUAAAGGCCUACCAAGGCGACGAUCCGUAACUGGUCUGAGAGGAUGAUCAGUCACACUGGAACUUGAGCACGGUCCCAACCCCUACGGGAGGCAGCAGUGGGGAAUAUUGGACAAUGGGGGGAAGCCUGAUCCCGCCAAUGCGCGUGUGUGAAGAAGGUCUUCGGAUUGUAAAGCACUUUAAGUUGGGAGGAAGGGCAGUAAGUUAAUACCUUGCUGUUUUGACGUUACCAACAGAAUAAGCACCGGCUAACUUCGUG
rnacentral:rRNA from 1 species